UCUCAAACUCCUUGUCUCUCAUUCCCAACACUAUCUCUCGAUUUCUCUCUAUUUUUGUCUUCAUCCAAAAAAAUUUCACAUGCCUCCAUCUUGGCCAAGCUUGUGCUGCCGUCAAUUUCGAUGUCCUCUUCAGGGUCACACAUUCAAUCUCAUUAUUUGCAUUUUUAAUUUAAUGAUUGUGCAAUUAAUUGUGUUGUAGAGGGAAGAAAUCAGAUCCAUGGUUGAAAAGGAUGGGUUUCCAAAGGGAAUUGUUUUCAGCUAGUUCACAUCGUUCUUGGAUAUUUCAAGGUCUGACCCGAACCCCAAAUUCUAUUUCUACAUUGUUUUAGAUUUCUAGGGUUUUCUAUUUGUGUUUGCGAAUUGGGAUUUUUUUUGCAGGCAUAUUUGCGUCGUUAGCGGCGCUGAUGUUCAAUUGCAUAAAAAAGGUAGACAAGAAUGUGAGUGGAGGUGAGCAAUUGAAUGCACAACUUAGAUAUUGAUUGCUCAUAUAACUGCAUAAGAAAUAAAAAAACCUACCCAGUUGAUGGGUUUUUCGAUUUAAUUCUCCACCCAAGACAAAGAGUCCGUGUGUAAAGAGAGAAGGCAAAGAGGGUCUGGAAUUUGGGCGGUGACGGUUGAGUUGUUGCUGCUAUUGCUACUACUGCUGCUCAAAAAAUGGAUUGAAACAAUGACAAUUGAGUUGCUGCUUGAGUAUCAUUAAAGUAAGAAAUUAGCGGUGCUAUUGCGGAAGAAGAGGGAAGAGAAACAAUUGAGUCAUCCUCUUUUUGUUUUAGGACUUUGAUGAGUGCAUCGAUUAUAUUGACGAAGCUACAAGAUUUGGAGGUGGUGUGUUGGUUCAUUGAUUUUAUCUUCCAGUAUAGGUUGUUGCUCUCAGGUGGUUUUCUUCGUUGUCUUAAUUUAAGCUAUCGGUUAAGUGAAUCCUUCAAAUACGGUUUUGCUGAUCUCUUUGAUACAACAUGGAUAAGAAAUAAUGUUUUAGCAUAAAUUUUCUAUGAUUUUGCAUCUCAGUUAUUAAUAUUAGAACAGAAUAAAAAUUUGGGGCUUUCAAUUGCUGGUUUUAAGUAGUUAAAGGUCAAGAGUUAUGUAGCUUUGUUGCCUCAUGACCAAUUUUAGAUAUCUUCAAAUUUGCACUGUCUCCAAUGACCCUUCUCAAUUAAUAUUUGACAUACAUAUGCACAUAUACACCACACAGAGGACAUAGUCCGACUCUCAGAAACUUUGUUCGAGUAUUAAGCUCUAGUGAUAAGCCACAGGAUACAAUUUCCAUAUCAUAAUCAAAUUUUUGAGGUUUUGAUUUAGAGGUAAUAUAUGCAUUAACGUUAAGGCUUAUGUGAUCAGUUAAUAUCAUUGAACGUUGAGGCUUAUGUGAUUAGUUAAUUUCUUUGAAUUUGAUCAUAUCUUGAUUAUUCUAAGUAGCCUUCUUCAGUUGAAUACUUGAAUAAGAUAUGUGGAUUAAACUUUGAAGGUUGACAUUUCCAGAGGGACUUCAUCCUUGAUCCUUCCUAACUGAGAAAAGAUAAGGUGAAGGGUGCUAAUAUCAGGUGGCUUUACCCACAUUUGUCUAUCAUACCAGCCACUCUCUUCGUAAGUCUAUACAUACCGGGAAACCUAUAGUAAUAUAUGUUCUCUGGUAUUUGGGGCUAGUAGAAUUGAAUCCAUGGCUGUUUAGCAGAUAGAGCGAGAGGCAAUAAUUGCUAAGGCUCAAGCAUUAGGGGCAAUAGUUCGCUCUCAAGGUCCUUUGUUUGGAGGUGUUCAAAAAAUGUGAAGUCUUCAAGUGACAAUGUCCUUGUUUGUUGGAGGUCUCUGAAUAGUUUGAUAUUUCUUUGUAUAUCUCAUUGUUUUGUUGUUUACUUUAGAAGAUUACUUCUUGUUGUUUUUUCUUUUUAUUCGGACAUCUUGUAUGUACAUUUUUAUAUAUUUUAUAAUUAAAUACUUUUUCUUGGUUUA